UCUAAUUUGACAGAAUAAGUGUAUAAAAUUUAGAGUUUUAUUAUAAAUAUAGUUAUAUAUUUAAUUAGAA
rnacentral:tRNA from 1 species